CAAGAAUUUAGGGAUUCUGGAUUGUGGCUGAAUGUGAUCAACUGUUUGAAAAAAUUCUUAAAUUGUUCAACACCUGCCUAUCCGCUUGCCAUUUUCCGUAACAAAGGCAGGGGCUAAACUUAUCUUAGCUGUUGCCCACAAUUUAUGAAGAGAUAAUCCGGUUCAUAGGAAAUGAG
rnacentral:lncRNA from 1 species